rnacentral:rRNA from 1 species
GUGUCAGCCGCCGCGGUAAUACGAGAGGUGCAAACGUUAUUCGGAAUCAUUGGGCGUAAAGGGUGUGUAGGCGGUAUAUUAAGUCUGUUGUUAAAUUUCUCGGCCUAACCGGGAGCCAGCAUCGGAAACUGAUAUGCUAGAGGGUGGGAGAGAGAAGUGGAAUUCUCGGAGUAGCGGUAAAAUGCGUAGAUCUCGAGAGGAACACCGAUGGCGAAGGCAGCUUCUUGGCCCAUUUCUGACGCUGAAACACGAAAGCGUGGGGAGCAAACAGGAUUAGAUACCCUGGUAGUCCACGCUGUAAACGAUGGGUGCUAGUUGUGGCGGGUUUUGACCCCUGCCGUGACGCAGCUAACGCAAUAAGCACCCCGCCUGGGAAGUACGGCCGCAAGGCUAAA